rnacentral:lncRNA from 10 species
UCCCACAAAUCGGGCACUCAGGGAUCUGAGGCACAGAAGGUCUUAGUGUCUUUUCAGCUUCAUCCAAGCACCUGAAGGAAAACAGUCAAUACAGGAGAACCACCCUCCCCAGGAAUGUGGAUUGGAGCAAAUGUGGGUCCAGGUCAACACAGACGUGCUGUGGUCAAAGCAAGUUCCCCAAAGCCAAUCCCCUCUACACAGCCUGGCUCCGUCUCCCGGCAGUCAGCCCCUAGACACUACACUUAGGUAUCUGUCAGCAAAGUUGGCUAAAGAAAGCAAGGAAAGAUUAAAUGCAGUUACAUGAUGACUUAGAAAUUCCACUCCUAAGUAGAGACCCCAAAGAACUGAAAGCAGUGUUUUGUUGUCCAAUAGAUGCCUCUGAGAUCGAAUACAUAUGAACCUGGUGCUCAGAUAAUUCUCCAAGAUCUCCAUGAUGAUGAAACAUAUAUGGUUCAC